GACCUAAACUAGAUUUAUUUAGCAUGGUCUAAAGACCCUUAGAAGAUACUGAACCCCGCGUUCAGCAACUCUUCUAAGGGCUGUAUCAGGAAACUGAUAUGGGGUCGCAAGACCU
rnacentral:sRNA from 1 species